AGGAACUCCCACUCGUGGUCAGAGCCAUCACCCACACUCUGCCAGCUCCGUCUUCAGCAGAAAAUGCUUGCGUCGGUGGCUAGAAAUGUGUGCAUUUCCUAUGCAAAUUCCUGUCAAAGAGUGUCAGUGUUUGGGAGGACAAUUAGCUGGACACAAAAUAAAACCGCCCAGCUUAGGCGAGGCUAUGGGGCUUAAAAAAUGGAUGCAUCCCAGGGACCCAGGGCCACGAAGGCAGAGGAACGGCCUCCCUCCUCUGUUACCAAGGCUCCCGGUCUCCAUGGCAACCCUACAUCCGGCGUUAUGGGGAUAAUUGAGAUACUACCGGUCUCCAGGGAGGGUCUCCGGGCACCAUCACUGCGCCGCUGCGGCUCAGCGGCAGGGUCUCCCCGGCGCAGACAGCCGGGUGCGGAGGGCACACCGAGUCCAUCCCGGUGGCUUCUCUGUGUAGAGUCAGGCCCCGUCAGCAGUCAUAGAUGAUGGGUCCAGAAGAGUUUCAUAAACGGAAUUACAGAUUCACGGUGAGUUACCAUGGAGACACGGAGACUCCAGGCCCAGAAAAGCAGCCAAACCAGACCAGCGACCCCGUGGCUGCCCCAGCACCAGCUGCAUCGGCUAAGGACCCUUGCCCUGGUGCCGACCAAUCAGUCAGUGGCCAUCACAGCUCUGACAGAACACACCUGGAAAGCUGCCCAAUGUUCUAUUAGGAUCUCCUAGGACCUCCGCUCAAAUCUCCACCCUUAAAACCCUAGGACUGGGGACCCAGUGUGCUUGCUCUCCCUCCUCGGAGCCACAGAGCCUUUCCCGUUUCCUGUUCCCUCCCCAUACCACCCCUCCCCCCCCCCAAGGCUUGUCACCAUUGUCAUCAUCUUCCUUACUCCCCAGCUCCCAGUCUCUUCCUUUACCUCAUAACUCGUUUCCUCAGCCCAUAUCUUCCACAACUUACUUCCUCUGCCUCUGUGACUUUACAAAUAAACAUUCUCUU